UACAGAGGGUGCGAGCGUUAAUCGGAAUUACUGGGCGUAAGGCGUGCGUAGACGGUCAAGUAAGUCGGGUGUGAAAGCCCCGGGCUCAACCUGGGAAUUGCAUUCGAGACUGCGUGGCUAGGGUGCGGAAGAGGGAAGCGGAAUUUCCGGUGUAGCGGUGAAAUGCGUAGAUAUCGGAAGGAACACCAGUGGCGAAAGCGGCUUCCUGGUCCAGCACCGACGUUCAGGCACGAAAGCGUGGGGAGCAAACAGG
rnacentral:rRNA from 1 species